rnacentral:rRNA from 1 species
ACUCAAAUGAAUAGACGGGGGCCCGCACAAGCAGCGGAGCGUGUGGUUUAAUUCGACGCAACACGAAGAACCUUACCUAGAUUUGACAUGCACCUGCAAACGGUGGAAACAUCGUUGCCUUCGAGGGUGGUGCACCGGUGCUGCAUGGCUGUCGUCAGCUCGUGUCGUGAGAUGUUGGGUUAAGUCCCGCAACGAGCGCAACCCUUGCCUGGUGUUACUUGUGUCACCAGGGACUGCCGUGGUGUUACCACGGAGGAAGGCGGGGAUGACGUCAAGUCCGCAUGGCCCGUACGUCUAGGGCUACACACACGCUACAAUGGUCGGAGGAGCGCGCAGCGACCUGGCAACAGGCAGCAAAUCGCCAGGACCGGCCUCAGUGCAGAUUGGGGGCUGCAACUCGCCCCCAUGAAGGCGGAGUUGCUAGUAACCGCGUGUCAGCAAAGCGCGGUGAAUACGUACCCGGGCCUUGUACACACCGCCCGU